GGAAUGCCCUCCAGAAGUGGGCCAGGAGCUGCAGAGGCUCCAGCAGGCUGGGGCCAGACUUGGAAUACUCAGCGAGCUGCUGCAGGAGAAAUGCAGGCAGCUCCAGAUCGGGAGCAAGCUGAGGCCACAGGGAAAUCCUCAACAGCAAUGGAAGGCCCAGCAUUGCCUUCUGAGAGAGAAAUUCCCUCCUGACGAGUGCCAGGAGCUGCAGAGGCUCCAGCAGGCUGGCGCCAAACUUGGAAUACUCAGCUAUCAGCUGGAGGAGAAAUGCAGGCAGCUCCAGGAGAUCAGGAAAAAGCUGUGGCCACAUGGAAAUCCCAAACAGGAAUGCUCCAACC
ensembl:lncRNA